rnacentral:rRNA from 1 species
UGCAGUCGAGCGAACGAUAAGGAGCUUGCUCCUUUGACGUUAGCGGCGGACGGGUGAGUAACACGUGGAUAACCUACCUAUAAGACUGGGAUAACUUCGGGAAACCGGAGCUAAUACCGGAUAACAUAUUGAACCGCAUGGUUCAAUAGUGAAAGGCGGCUUUGCUGUCACUUAUAGAUGGAUCCGCGCCGUAUUAGCUAGUUGGUAAGGUAACGGCUUACCAAGGCAACGAUACGUAGCCGACCUGAGAGGGUGAUCGGCCACACUGGAACUGAGACACGGUCCAGACUCCUACGGGAGGCAGCAGUAGGGAAUCUUCCGCAAUGGGCGAAAGCCUGACGGAGCAACGCCGCGUGAGUGAUGAAGGUCUUCGGAUCGUAAAACUCUGUUAUCAGGGAAGAACAAAUGUGUAAGUAACUGUGCACAUCUUGACGGUACCUGAUCAGAAAGCCACGGCUAACUACGUGCCAGCAGCCGCGGUAAUACGUAGGUGGCAAGCGUUAUCCGGAAUUAUUGGGCGUAAAGCGCGCGUAGGCGGUUUUUUAAGUCUGAUGUGAAAGCCCACGGCUCAACCGUGGAGGGUCAUUGGAAACUGGAAAACUUGAGUGCAGAAGAGGAAAGUGGAAUUCCAUGUGUAGCGGUGAAAUGCGCAGAGAUAUGGAGGAACACCAGUGGCGAAGGCGACUUUCUGGUCUGUAACUGACGCUGAUGUGCGAAAGCGUGGGGAUCAAACAGGAUUAGAUACCCUGGUAGUCCACGCCGUAAACGAUGAGUGCUAAGUGUUAAGGGGGUUUCCGCCCCUUAGUGCUGCAGCUAACGCAUUAAGCACUCCGCCUGGGGAGUACGACCGCAAGGUUGAAACUCAAAGGAAUUGACGGGGACCCGCACAAGCGGUGGAGCAUGUGGGUUUAAUUCGAAGCAACGCGAAGAACCUUACCAAAUCUUGACAUCCUUUGACCGCUCUAGAGAUAGAGUCUUCCCCUUCGGGGGACAAAGUGACAGGUGGGGGCAUGGGUUGUCGUCAGCUCGUGUCGUGAGAAGUGUUGGGGUUAAGUCCCCGCAACGAGCGCAACCCUUUAAGCUUAGUUGCCAUCAUUAAGUUGGG